rnacentral:rRNA from 1 species
UGAGUGAAGAAGGCCUUCGGGUUGUAAAGCUCUUUUGUCAGGGAAGAAACGGCUCCGGCUAAUAUCUGGGGCUAAUGACGGUACCUGAAGAAUAAGCACCGGCUAACUACGUGCCAGCAGCCGCGGUAAUACGUAGGGUGCAAGCGUUAAUCGGAAUUACUGGGCGUAAAGCGUGCGCAGGCGGUUUUGUAAGUCUGACGUGAAAGCCCCGGGCUUAACCUGGGAAUUGCGUUGGAGACUGCAAGGCUUGAAUCUGGCAGAGGGGGGUAGAAUUCCACGUGUAGCAGUGAAAUGCGUAGAGAUGUGGAGGAACACCGAUGGCGAAGGCAGCCCCCUGGGUCAAGAUUGACGCUCAUGCACGAAAGCGUGGGGAGCAAACAGGAUUAGAUACCCUGGUAGUCCACGCCCUAAACGA